rnacentral:rRNA from 1 species
GAUUGUUUGAUCAUGGCUCAGGAUGAACGCUAGCGGCAGGCUUAACACAUGCAAGUCGAAGGGGUAGAGAGUGCUUGCACUCUUGAGACCGGCGCACGGGUGCGUAACGCGUAUGCAAUCUACCUUUUACAGAGGGAUAGCCCAGAGAAAUUUGGAUUAAUACCUCAUAGUAUUAUUAAUUGGCAUCAAUUGAUAAUUAAAGCUGAGGCGGUAAAAGAUGAGCAUGCGUUCUAUUAGCUAGAUGGAGUGGUAACGGCACCCCAUGGCAACGAUAGAUAGGGGCCCUGAGAGGGGGAUCCCCCACACUGGUACUGAGACACGGACCAGACUCCUACGGGAGGCAGCAGUGAGGAAUAUUGGACAAUGGGCGAGAGCCUGAUCCAGCCAUGCCGCGUGCAGGAAGACGGUCCUAUGGAUUGUAAACUGCUUUUAUACGGGAAGAAACACCCCCUCGUGAGGGGGCUUGACGGUACCGUAAGAAUAAGGAUCGGCUAACUCCGUGCCAGCAGCCGCGGUAAUACGGAGGAUCCAAGCGUUAUCCGGAAUCAUUGGGUUUAAAGGGUCCGUAGGUGGAUAAUUAAGUCAGAGGUGAAAUCCUGCAGCUCAACUGUAGAAUUGCCUUUGAUACUGGUUAUCUUGAAUUAUUAUGAAGUAGUUAGAAUAUGUAGUGUAGCGGUGAAAUGCAUAGAUAUUACAUAGAAUACCAAUUGCGAAGGCAGAUUACUAAUAAUUGAUUGACACUGAUGGACGAAAGCGUGGGGAGCGAACAGGAUUAGAUACCCUGGUAGUCCACGCCGUAAACGAUGGAUACUAGCUGUUCGGAGCAAUCUGAGUGGCUAAGCGAAAGUGAUAAGUUCCCACCUGG